UACAGAGGUCUCAAGCGUUGUUCGGAUUCAUUGGGCGUAAAGGGCGCGUAGGCGGUCCUGAUCGUCGGAUGUGAAAGGCCUGGGCUCAACCUGGGAAUGGCAUCCGAUACGGCGGGACUGGAGUGUGGAGAGGUGGUGGAAUUCCCAGUGUAGAGGUGAAAUUCGUAGAUAUUGGGAAGAACACCGGUGGCGAAGGCGGAUCUCUGGGCCUUACCUGACGCUGAGGCGCGAAAGCUAGGGGAGCGAACAGG
rnacentral:rRNA from 1 species